GGUUUUCCGUAGGUGAACCUGCGGAAGGAUCAUU
rnacentral:rRNA from 1 species